rnacentral:rRNA from 1 species
GAUGAACGCUGGCGGCGUGCCUAAUACAUGCCAGUCGAGCGAACAGAUGAGGAGCUUGCUCCUCUGACGUUAGCGGCGGACGGGUGAGUAACGCGUGGAUAACCUACCUAUAAGACUGGGAUAACUUCGGGAAACCGGAGCUAAUACCGGAUAAUAUAUUGAACCGCAUGGUUCAAUAGUGAAAGACGGUUUUGCUGUCACUUAUAGAUGGAUCCGCGCCGCAUUAGCUAGUUGGUAAGGUAACGGCUUACCAAGGCAACGAUGCGUAGCCGACCUGAGAGGGUGAUCGGCGACACUGGAACUGGGACAGGGACCAGACUCCUACGGGAGGCAGCAGUAGGGAAUCUGCCGCAAUGGGCGAAAGCCUGACGGAGCAACGCCGCGUGAGUGAUGAAGGUCUUCGGAUCGUAAAACUCUGUUAUUAGGGAAGAACAAAUGUGUAAGUAACUAUGCACGUCUUGACGGUACCUAAUCAGAAAGCCACGGCUAACUACGUG